GGAUGUGACGGCUCUCUGGCUGUGACAUCUGUCACUCCAUUGCACACACUAGGGUUGAUUCAUCUGAUCUGGCUUGUUAGGUGGGGGUCCCCUUCCUUCAUUUCUUAAUCUGUGACUCCUCCAUCCCCCCAAGCUAUUCACUCUGUCAGAGAGAACGAAAUUCCUGGAUAAAAGAGGAUCAUUCUUGGGCCCAGGGUAUGGAUGUGGUAAAAAAAAAAAAAAAAAAAAAAAAAAAAAAAAAAAAAAAAACCACGAGCUCUCCAGUGACAAAAUGUGGCUCAUAUUU
rnacentral:sRNA from 1 species